rnacentral:rRNA from 1 species
UCGCUACUACUGAUUGGAUGUUUAAGCGAGUCCCCCGGACUGCUGGGAUCGGAUCUUCGGUGAUGAUCCUGAGAGGAAUGUAGGACAAGCUUAUGUGUCUAGAGGAAGUAA